rnacentral:rRNA from 1 species
UACGUAGGGUGCGAGCGUUAAUCGGAAUUACUGGGCGUCAAAGCGUGCGCAGGCGGUUUUGUAAGACUGUCGUGAAAUCCCCGGGCUCAACCUGGGAAUGGCGAUGGUGACUGCAAGGCUAGAGUUUGGCAGAGGGGGGGUAGAAUUCCACGUGUAGCAGUGAAAUGCGUAGAUAUGUGGAGGAACACCGAUGGCGAAGGCAGCCCCCUGGGUCAAAACUGACGCUCAUGCACGAAAGCGUGGGGAGCAAACAGG